UAGGGAAUCUUCCACAAUGGACGCAAGUCUGAUGGAGCAACGCCGCGUGAGUGAAGAAGGUUUUCGGACCGUAAAGCUCUGUUGUUGGUGAAGAAGGAUAGAGGUAGUAACUGGCCUUUAUUUGACGGUAAUCAACCAGAAAGUCACGGCUAACUACGUGCCAGCAGCCGCGGUAAUACGUAGGUGGCAAGCGUUGUCCGGAUUUAUUGGGCGUAAGAGCGAGCGCAGGACGGAAGAUAAGUCUGAUGUGAAAGCCCUCGGCUUAACCGAGGAAUUGCAUCGGAAACUGUUUUUCUUGAGUGCAGAAGAGGAGAGUAGAACUCCAUGUGUAGCGGUGGAAUGCGUAGAUAUAUGGAAGAAUACCAGUGGCGAAGGCGGCUCUCUGGUCUGCAACUGACGCUGAGGCUCGAAAGCAUGGGUAGCGAACAGGAUUAGAUACCCUGGUAGUCCAUGCCGUAAACGAUGAGUGCUAAGUGUUGGGAGGCUUCCGCCUCUCAGUGCUGCAGCUAACGCAUUAAGCACUCCGCCUGGGGGAGUACGACCGCAAGGUUGAAAC
rnacentral:rRNA from 1 species